GUCUUCAACAUAAGAUGACCAACCCAACUGCAUUUGCCCAGACUACAAGCUUCCCAAGUCAGAACAAAGAUCAGACAAGAAUUUGAAAGACAGAGAUUC
rnacentral:misc_RNA from 1 species